GUUUUAUAAAAAAAACGGCAAUGCUACAUGGCGCUCUAAACUAAGCCCUAGUCUGCGCCCAAUCCAAGGUGGCAGAGUGACGUGUUUCUAUGUCACGUGAAGUCGUGAAUAAUCAGCUCUUUCUUUUUUUCUCUCUCUAAUCUCCAUUAUAAAGAAGGAAAAAAAAGGAAAUUGCUCUCUCAUCCCUCCUCUUUUGUGCUUAGAUUGACAGAUUUGUUGAGGAGCGAUGAUGUUGUAGUAUCCCUAUUUUUGAAUGCAGAACGAUGAUGAUGCUGAAACGAUUUUCUUCAUUGACUUUCGCCACUUUUCCUUCUCUUUCUUUCUGGGAAGAGAUAUCAAAAUCAAUCAGCCCAAAAUCAAUCUUUUCUUUGAUCGACAAAUCGUAAAAUUAAUCUUAUCUAUCUUCUUAUUGAAUCUUCUGGUAACAACACUGAAAGUCAUCUUCUUCAGAUCCCUUGCACAAUAAAAUUGGAAAGACACAAUUCAAGUUUCGGUUUUUGUUUUUCAUGUCUGUUACUCAUGGAACAGAUGGGAUUUUCCAAUGGGCAAAAACCCAUCUCUUACAUAGAUCAAUAUCAAGAUCUUGUAAUAACUUUUUAAAAUUAAAAUUAAAAUUUAGAUGAUUUUCCAGACAAAUUACUAAGAAAAAGAGAACCGAUUUACUGAUUUUAAAUACUCUUAUUGAUUUUUGAUUGAAGAUUGGUUUCCCUUUUAGAUCUUAAAUUAACAAAGAAAUUGAUUAAAGAUUGGGGUUUCCCUUUUUGUUCUUAAACAAAGAAAACAUUGAAGAAGAGCGAUAAGUGUAAUUUGAAGGUUCACGUGGGUCUUGUACAACUAAGCUAUCCACCUAAGCUUGGGCGUAGAAUGAGGGAUUAGAAUAGCAUUAGAUGUUUUGUGUCUAACCCUAUAAAUAGAGGCUUUAAUGUUUGUCUAUAUGAUCAAGGUUUAUAAUCGAAGUAUGUUUAUCUUUGGAUGGCGUUUGCCUUUAUCUCUACAAAUAGUCAUAGCGUUUGCCUCAUUGGUGAUUUGCUCGUUGAAGCAAAGGAUUCACAGUUUUUGCAGGUCAGUAUGAUCGAUCAGAAUUGGUGGUAUUCUGAAUCGGUUGUUCAAAGUCUGGACUCGUUUUACCCAACAAUUAGGUCAAAACAACGUAAUAUUUGGAAAUUUCAAAAUUCAAAUAUAAAUCUCAGGAUUAGAGCCUCUUUUCAAUUUCAAAAAGUCUUGACAUCUUCAGAAAAGUUUCCUUUUUCAACAGACUCAAGAAAUCUCUGUGAAUUAUCUUCAUUUAUAUAUUUUAGGGUUUUCUCAGAUCCUAAUUUUUCUCUAAACACUAACUAGAAUGACUAUAAAAUAACAAUAUGUAACAAUAGGUUCUCAUCUCAAUCUCUUAGUAGAAAUCCCUCAAAGUUUCUCUAUUUUUCUCUAUCGCCAACUUGUGGAGAAAUAGGCUUCUUCUCCUAGCAAAAAUUCUGAGAAUAAGGAUGUUUCCCACAUCACCUCUAAGUUAAAUAUCACUAAUUUGGAGCAAGUUUUAUCCUCAACUGGAAAUCCUGGUCAUGAUUAUGUUGAAGAUUUGAAUGAAGAAACUGAUGAUAUGGAGAUUAGUCUUAUUGGUAUGAUAAUCAAGGAAGGGAAGAUGUCAGGAAAAGAUGUCCAGAAUCAAGUUAAGUUUACUUGUAAUUUUCUUCCAGAGGAGGAUGUGAAAGUCAUUGUGCUAGACAAAAACAUUAUCAUCUUUAAAUUUGGUAUUUGGGUUCAGUUGAAGAUGUUUUUCGAAACAAGACCAUGGUGUAUCAAUGAUAAUUUGGUUGUCUUGCAUCAUUAUAACCCCUCAAUUAUCUAUGAGGAGCUGGAAUGGGAUUUCCAAGAGUUCUGGAUAAAUUUGAAGUACUUGAUGCGAGCAUAUGAAUCAAAACAGAGUGAAGGAAAUGGGAGAAGUUAUGGGAGAAGUGACUGCAAUUGAACCAGAAUCUAGUUUACCUGAACCUGGUGAAGUUUUCAAAGUCUAUGUGAAGAUUAAUUUGGCCAGUCAACUCAGAAGAGGUGUUCUAUCUAUAACUGUUGCGGGAUCAACAAGAUGGGUUUGCUAUUUCUAUGAGAAGCAACCUCACAAGAUCUGUCCAUAGUGUUAUGUUCUUACGCAUUCAAAAGAAAAAUGUAGUGAUGCUGCUAAGACACUGGAAAGUAUUCACAAGACUCCAGUUCCUUUUGGAAAGGUGAAGGUGGGAAAGAAGACUCAUAUUGUUCAACAUCAAAUAUCUGCUCCCAAUUUGAAGCAAAAUUCUAGAAAACCUUUGAAGUCGGAUCCCUUCAUCCCUCCUGCUGAUAGGUUUAUUGUUCCUGAGUAUGCCAACAGAGUCAUUGAAAAUCCAGAGCCAGUUCCUUAAUUAGAAUUAGGACCUGAAGCCAUAUUAGGUAAAAGACAGAGAUCUUCCAUUCCUCAAGACUCCCUGAAUAUCUAUGAUUCUAAUAUCACCAAUCCAAUUUAUGACCAGUCAAGGAAUCCUCACCAAUGGAGAUGACUGCUGGAGAUAGUAUUCAGGUUUCAGAUAAGAUUAAGCAUCCUGCAAGUACAACUGGGGAGAAUCAAGUAUUUUCCAACUACAAAACUUUUAUAAUAGCACUUUAUUCCAACUUUC